rnacentral:rRNA from 1 species
UACGUAGGGGGCAAGCGUUAUCCGGAUUUACUGGGUGUAAAGGGAGCGUAGACGGCAGUGCAAGUCCGGAGUGAAAGCCCGGGGCUCAACCCCGGGACUGCAUUUGGAACUGUUAAGCUGGAGUGUCGGAGAGGCAGGCGGAAUUCCUAGUGUAGCGGUGAAAUGCGUAGAUAUUAGGAGGAACACCAGUGGCGAAGGCGGCCUGCUGGACGAUAACUGACGUUGAGGCUCGAAAGCGUGGGGAGCAAACGGG